GGGGAAUCUUCCGCAAUGGGCGAAAGCCUGACGGAGCAACGCCGCGUGAGUGAAGACGGCCUUCGGGUUGUAAAGCUCUGUUAUACGGGACGAAUAAUCUUGUGGUUAAUACCCAUAGGAAGUGACGGUACCGUAAGAGAAAGCCACGGCUAACUACGUGCCAGCAGCCGCGGUAAUACGUAGGUGGCAAGCGUUGUCCGGAAUUAUUGGGCGUAAAGGGCGCGCAGGCGGCUUCUUAAGUCUGUCUUAAAAGUGCGGGGCUUAACCCCGUGAUGGGAUGGAAACUGGGAAGCUCAGAGUAUCGGAGAGGAAAGCGGAAUUCCUAGUGUAGCGGUGAAAUGCGUAGAUAUUAGGAGGAACACCAGUGGCGAAAGCGGCUUUCUGGACGAAAACUGACGCUGAGGCGCGAAAGCCAGGGGAGCGAACGGGAUUAGAUACCCCGGUAGUCCUGGCCGUAAACGAUGGGUACUAGGUGUAGGAGGUAUCGACCCCUUCUGUGCCGGAGUUAACGCAAUAAGUACCCCGCCUGGGGAGUACGGCCGCAAGGUUG
rnacentral:rRNA from 1 species